UGUGAUAAACUUAUAAAAUUUAUUAAGAGCUCUUUGUAUUUGCUAGAAACAUUCCCUAUUUCAGAUUCGAAGGACACCGGGUGUCGAUAAACUCAGUUUUUAGUUAAAAUUAUCGCCUUGAACCAAGACAGUUUUUUUCUCGUCUUAAAUAAACUUUCAACAAACUUUUUUUUGGAAAAAAAAAUUUUUAAAUGUAUAUAUUUUUAAACAAGCUAAAAGGUCCUGUGUUUCGAAAAUCCUACGCUGAGUCCUGCACCCCAAAACAACGCGAUGAGAAGACAGAUAUCUAUGCCAGAUCAAAUUAAGGAGCGAAAGUUCGUUGGAUCCGAUAAGGAUUGGGAUUCCACUAAUGGAUUUCAAAUCUGUAUCCGAAGGCCUUUUUGAAGCUUACUGCAUUUACCCUCAGCUUAAAACGUCUAUUUUUCAAAAAAUCUCAGAUUCUGUUGGCUUGCAAUAAAUAAGAAUUGGUUUUUAACGACGGCGGAGUAUCCGAAGUCAUCAUUAUAAAAUUACUUACAGCUUGGGAUGAUAUUAAAGUACUAUCUGGAUAAAAUUCUAAAUGUAAUUGAAGAUUAAAUUUGAAAUGUUCUUAAUUUACUAUUUACUUUUAUUAGUUUUUGAAUGCUUAUAUUAUAUAUCUGUGACGCCU